rnacentral:rRNA from 1 species
UUAGAUGUCCGGGGCCGCACGCGCGCUACACUGAAGGAAUCAGCGUGUGCUUUCCCUGUCCGGCAGGACUGGGUAACCCGCUGAACCUCCUUCGUGAUAGGGAUAGGGGCUUGUAAUUGUUCCCCUUGAACGAGGAAUUCCUAGUAAGCACGAGUCAUAAGCUCGUGUUGAUUUGGUCCCUGCCCUUUGUACACACCGCCCGUCGCUACUACCGAUUGAAUGAUUUAGUGAGGUCUUCGGACUGGCGCUCGGAGCGGCCCCCCGGCCGGGCCGACGUGCCGGAAAGAUGACCAAACUUGAUCAUUUAGAGGAAGUAAAAGUCGUAACAAGGUUUCC